rnacentral:rRNA from 1 species
UUUAACUGAGCGUUCAGUUACUUGACGUAGACCCGAAACCGGGCGACCUACCCAUGAGCAGGAUGAAGCGAAAGUAAAAUUUCGUGGAGGUCCGAACCCACGAGCGUUGAAAAGCUCGGGGAUGACUUGUGGGUAGCGGUGAAAUUCCAAUCGAGCCCGGAGAUAGCUGGUUCUCCCCGAAAUAGCUUUAGGGCUAGCCUCAAGGUGAGAGAUACGGAGGUAGAGCACUGAAUGUCCUAGGGGGUAUUGCACCUACCGAAGACUAUCAAACUCCGAAUGCCGUCAUCUUAUACUUGGGAGUCAGACUGUGGGUGAUAAGAUUCAUAGUCGAAAGGGCAACAGCCCAGAUCGUCAGCUAAGGUCCCUAAAUGUAAGUUAAGUGGUAAAGGAUGUGGGAUUGCACAGACAACCAGGAUGUUGGCUUAGAAGCAGCCACUCAUUCAAAGAGUGCGUAAUAGCUCACUGGUCGAGUGAUCCUGCGCCGAAGAUUUCCGGGGCUAAAACUUACUACCGAAGCUACGGCAUCAGUAAUGAUGGGUAGGGGAGCUUCCCAUACGGGUUGAAGCAUGACCGUAAGGACAUGUGGACAGUAUGGGAGUGAGAAUGUUGGCAUGAGUAGCGAGAUGUGGGUGAGAAUCCCACAGGCCGUAAACCCAAGGUUUCCAGGGGAAGGUUCGUCCGCCCUGGGUUAGUCGGGACCUAAGCUGAGGCCGAAAGGCGUAGGUGAUGGACAACAGGUUGAUAUUCCUGUACUACCGAUAACCGGUUGAGAGAAGGGAUGACACAGUAGGAUAAGCUAAGCACACUGUUGGUUAUGUGUGCCCAAGCAUUGAGGCAGUCAAAGUAGGCAAAUCCGCUUUGAUAAUGCUGGGAUGUGAUGGGGAGCGAAAUUUAGUAGCGAAGUAGCUGAUUUCACACUGUCAAGAAAAGUCUCUAUCGAGGUUAAAGGUACCCGUACCGCAAACCGACACAGGUG